GGGGAUGAUCGGUUUCGACGAUGCCGGUUGCGACAGGUGAAGCGGGCCGAGAAUGCAGAGCCAUCUCGUAAACGCUCUCUGCAAAAAAUAUAAGUGCCAAAUCUGAAAAGCGCACUGACUUCGCUCUCGCUGCGUAAGUAGCCAGAGCAGUCUGUCAGCCCGGGUUCGCCUUCGGCCCGGUGUCUGACAUCAGUUAGAAGGCCACUACUCGGCUCCACGUCCGCAGGGGAGCCGGGGAUUUUGAUGCGGAUAGGUUCGGCGGCGACGCGUUCGCGCGAGCGCCGGAGCCGAAAACACCGUUAAGCGAACUGCGCCCGGAGAAGACCUGGCAAAGCCGCAUCGGACCGGGGUUCGAUUCCCCGCAUCUCCACAU
rnacentral:tmRNA from 1 species